rfam:Picea glauca, whole genome shotgun sequence.
GCAAUGGUGUCUUUAGACACCACCUAUUAUCUUUGAAAGUUAUUC